CACGUAGUUAGCCGGGGCUUCUUACUCAGGUACCGUCAUCUUCUUCCCUGCUGAUAGAGCUUUACAUACCGAAAUACUUCUUCACUCACGCGGCGUUGCUGCAUCAGGGUUCCCCCCAUUGUGCAAUAUUCCCCACUGCUGCCUCCCGUAGGAGUUUGGGCCGUGUCUCAGUCCCAAUGUGGCCGGUCACCCUCUCAGGUCGGCUACUGAUCGUCGCCUUGGUGGGCCGCUACCCCUCAACUAGCUAAUCAGACGCGGGUCCAUCUCAUACCACCGGAGUUUUUCACACAAGAACAUGCAUCCUCGUGCGCUUAUGCGGUAUUAGCAGUCAUUUCUAACUGUUAUCCCCCUGUAUGAGGCAGGUUACCCACGCGUUACUCACCCGUCGCCACUCAGUCAAUCUAGCUUCCAUCCGAAAACUUCCGCUAAAUCGCUUCGUUCGACUUGCAUGUGUUAAGCACGCCGCCAGCGUUCAUCCUGAGCCAGGAUC
rnacentral:rRNA from 1 species